rnacentral:lncRNA from 1 species
ACUAAAUAAACAUAUAUUAGGGUUCAAAAUAUGCACAGCCAAAAUGAAAGUCACAUUCUGGUUCAUUAAAUCUGAAAAGACUUCACACAUUUUAAACCUGUAAUCGUAUUCAGAGAGGCAGCACCCCAUCCCCAACCUGUCCCCCACCCCCUCCUGCAGAUUUCACACCUUGGGAAUGGCUAUUGUACCAAAAAAAAAACCAAAAAAAAAAAAAAAAAACCAAAAAAAAACCAAAAAAAAAAAGAAAAGGAGCAGGGGAAGGUUUGCUGCUGCAGGGCACGGACAGGAAAAUCAGUGUUUGCUGUGGCAUCUCUGUCGUGGCAGCACUGAGCUGGGUUCAGGUGUUUGAGGAGGAGGAAGAGAAGAGGAGAGGAGGAAGCACAAAAUCUCAGCUCAGCUCUUCUUCCCCACCCUGCUCCCGCCCGACCCGGGGUCUCUCGCUGAGUUCCCCCCCACAGCUUCCAGGCUUCUCCCCCUCCCCUGGAGGGUGUGAUGUUACCAGGGAGCUGAGCUGCAGAACAUAUGGAAACGUCAUGCGUGUAUAUAUAGAAGAGGAGCGAAAAUGGAUGCUCUUGGAGCGGCACAGUCAGAGAGGAGGAUGUUGUGACUGCAUGCCAGCAGAUAUUUCUAAGGAGACAUUUUGAAAAUCUGAAGGGAACGGUGUAAACGUUUUCAAGAUGUUGGGGCUUGUUCUGGGAUACCUCAGUGCUUUCUUCUGGCUUUAGGUAAAAUGAGAUCAAAAUUCAAAUGUUUCUGCUAUGCACCAGCAGCUUCAUGCACCCGUUUAUUUCUUUUAGCAUAUUGUCCUUCUGAUUUUUUUCCUUUUAAAAGAACCAAUAUCUACUGCCCCAGUGUGUUUGUGUGUUAUUCAACAGGGUGCCAGCUCCCUGUAUUCUCCUUUUCCAGGGAAGCAAUCCCAAAGAAUUUGAUGCAGUGACUCAAGAAAGCAAGAAAGCUCAGUAUUAGGUGCCUUACACAGAAACCUGGAUAUCAUAUCAGGCUUUCCGUGCCUGGAUAUCUUGAUCAGUUUAAGCUGAUUAGAAAAGCUCCUCGGUUCAUUCUUGG